GAUUUUAUUUAAAUUAGGACAAAGGUGAAAUAUAGCCUGUUUUUUAUAAAUUAUAUCUUAAUUAUUUAGUUGUAAGUAAUUAUUCAAAAGAAUUUAGGAUUUAGAAUCAUUAGAGUAAUUUGUAUUAUUUUAGGGUUAAUGGUUUAGAAUAAUUUGAAUAAUUUAGGGUUUAGAAUACAUUGAAUAAUAGCAUGUGUCUCCAUAUUUCCCAUGUCAUAUUCUAUUGAAAUUAGUAAUUUGCAAUCUUUAUGAUUUUGUGAAUUCAAAGUGUAUGAUUUCCCGAUUAUCUAUUUCCCCAUGUGAUAUUGUUGAUACAAUGUAUUAAUUCAAAGUCUUCAUAUUGUAGUGCCCAUGUGAUAUUCUAUUCUAAUAUCAAUUCUAGGCUAAUGUGGUUAAUUAUGUAUUCAAAUUAGUUUCGAUGGUUUUUUAAUGUAGAAGUCGUAAUGGAUCGUCCAUCGUCAUCUUCCCCACGAAGGGAUGUUCUCGCACCUCAAGACGAUGAAAUCGAGCUAAUUGCAUCCCAGAUGGAGUUGGACAACACCCAAUAUGGCGACAAGCACUCCAAUGAACAAUCUGGGGACGAUCAGGGCCGUGUCGAGGGACCAGGCGCUUGGCAAGGAAAUGAAUGGCUUGACCCUGCUGAUCCGUGCCCUGUUCCGCAAAGAGGAAGUCGUUCAGAGGAGACGAUAGAUCUAGAUUACGAACUGGAACAACAUCAGGAGGCUUAGAUAGGAAGGACUAAGCACCGACGCCGCCCCCCCCCCUAGCCCAACAGAGGAAGACAAUGAAAGCUCUGGUCCGGACGCUACAGCCUCUGACAGCCAAAACAAAAGGAGACGAGGUCAGCGAGGAAGGAACCAGUACCCUGAAGGGCAGUUCACUGUUAAUGCAAUUAGCGUAGCAGGAGAGCCCAUUGAUCCCCCCCAGAUUGUAGAGAAGUUUCGUAAUGCCAUCAGGGCUAUAAUCAGAACAAAAGUGGUUGUGGAUCCAACAAUCGAGAGAUGGACACUAGUUCCUGAGGGGAAAAAGAAACAAUGUGGCAAUUGUUGAGCAAAAUUUUUGUUUUUCUGAGGAACUAGAGAUAAAGUAAAACAUUAUGCUAAGAAGAUGCUCAAUGAAACUUUUCGUAGAUGGAAGAGCGAACUGAAUGUUCGGUAUGUCAAGAAGGGUCUCACACCCUUUGCGGAUUUCGGGGACAUCACACCAGCACAAUGGGAAGAGUUUGUUCGACAGAAGACCACUGAACAAGCUCUAGCCCUAAGUCAGAAGCAAAGUGACCUAGCAAAGAGCAAUAUACAUAAAGUGCACCUUGGGCCGGGUGGGUACCAAGCAAAGCUCGACCAGUGGUGCUGUGAAAGAGAGGCGGCAAUAGCUGUCUAGCAGCCCGACCCAUAUGACAGCUUGGACAAACGUGGCUGGCAAUGGAUUCAAGCAAGGAAGCCAAAGCUAGUCGAAGGGAAACCAAAGUUUGAUCAACCCGAGACUGACACGGUGGCACAAAAGAUGUUAGCACUUGCGGAGAUUCAGAAACAAGGAAAGUUCAAACCCCAAAGGGAACAUGAUGUGCUCAGUACAGCCAUUGGAUCCAAAGAGCAUGGAGGCCAUGUUAGAGGCUUGUCCUCUAAGUUGAGCAUCAAGAAUGGGUUCGAGAAGGACCAGGCUAGGUACAGGAACCAUGACUGCUACAAAGAAGAAAUCGUGGCAGCAGCAGAGAAUGCAAUGCAGGUCAAGUUUAAGGAUAUGUUGAGAGCAGCACUUGCAGAGCAGCAGCAGCUAGGGUUAAUUAUGUUCAAUCCGUCGCAAGAGGUUGGACAGCAACAGAUGCUGGCAGUGGCAUCUCCAGUAAUUGGCCGAGCGAGUUUGGCAUGUGCUCAGAGUAGUGCCGCCUCGAACACAGCACAACCAUACCCGGUGGAUGCCAUAAUGAGUAUUACUCCAUGUUUGUUGCUCUAUCCGGUCGGCAGAGCUGGAAAACAAAGGAAGUUGCUAAGGCCCAGUGCAUCCGGCUGGGAAUUUAUUUGAGGGAAACCCUACCCCAGCCCUAUAUGCAUGCGUAGAAGUGGAGGAACUCUUGAAAUCAAGCUACGAGGAUACGGAGAUAGACAUCCCCACUGCAGAUGGGAAGAAUUGUCUUGGAGAAUGUGUCAGCAUCACAAUUUUGUGGCAUAAACGAGAUAUCUUACUGGUUAGUCAGAUAACUAUGUCUGCUAUGGAACAUAUCUCUCCAGGAGCACAACGAGAACAUGACCUCCCAUCUCCACAAGCACGAGACGAAUCACAUGCGGCUCCGCCAUCACCUGCGGCUCCAGAGGAACAAGAGCCAUCACCUGCGGCUCAAGACCAACGAGAGCAGUCACCUGCGGCUCCGCCAUCACCUCCGGCUCUAGAGCAACGAGAGCCAUCACCUGCGGCUCCGCCAUCACUUCUGGCUCCAGAGCAAAGGGAGCCAUCACCUCAAGCUCCGCCAUCACCUGUGGCUCCAGAGCAACGAGGGCCGCCACCUCAGGCGCCGCCAUCACCUGCGGCUCCAGAGCAACAAGAACCGUUACCUCAGGCUCUGCCAUCACCAGCGGCUUUAGUGACACGAGAGCCAUCAACUCAGGCACCGCCAUCAGCAGCGGCUCCAGUGACACGAGAGCCAUCAAGUCAGCCAACGACCUCGGCUUCUCAGAGCAAACCAGUGCUACCUCGAGUUCUGCGGUCUUACCAAAAGGAAAAGGAAGGGUCUGAAAUUGUGAAUAGAUGGCACGCCACAAACAAGAAGUCUGUUGAAAAAGCUAAGAAGGCUAAGUCACAGGAAAAACCACCAACUUCUAGUGGCAGUAGAAGGUCGGACUUUUCUACGCCCCGCACGGACACGGUGUACAACGUGGUGCUUGCGGUUGAUGGCCUUCCAUACUUAGAAGAUACUCCUCUAGAGUUUGCGUACGGAAAGGACUUGCUACCGAGCUUGGAUACUAUGUGAUUGUCCAAUUUACAUGAAGAUGAUGCAUAAUUGGUACAAGAGGGCAUAUAGACUUGGGCUGAGAACCCUAGGUGCUCCGCACCAUCCGGAUGUAUUCGGACUUAAGGGGCCACAAAUCAAUGAUAUCACAUUUGAUUUUGAAGACAUCCAGCACAAGUUCUGCCUCUCACAACAUGGUAUCGAAAUGGUUCGACUAUGGUGCAUGUAAGUGCCUCAUCGACUUUGUAUUACAUUCUAUGGUAUUGUAUAAGCAUAAAUAUUUAACGCCAUACAUUAAUUUUACAUGAUGCAAACAAUGGAUGCUAUUAUUUGUAAUUUCAAGGUCCGAUACCUUGAUCCCGUGGCGAUUUGCGAGUCUUUGCACGCUGGGCCAAAAUGGAUGAAGGACGACGAUGGCUAUCUGAAGCCAUUUGAAACAAAGAAGGCUAAAGAUGCUGAACACAAAAAAUUUCACGAACUAACCAUGAAGAGGGUUGCGGCCUACAUAACACAUAUGAUGGAACAGUGGAUAGACAUGGAUACCAUAUUUGUGCCAUCCCACGUCUAUGGUCACUGGAUUGCAUUCCAAAUAAUGCCAAAGCGGAAAAGUGGUCGUACAUGACUCCUUGAACCGGAAAACCGACAGAUACCAAGAAUUCAUAGACCUUAUUCAAUUGGCAUACAAGUUCAACGUUCAAAAAGGACUUCCUCAUCCUGCCAACAUAGCAAAGAAAAUGACUUUUCGCACAAAUAUCCCGAGCCACAAGCAACCGGCAGGUUCCGCGUACUGUGGGUACUGUGCGAGAAUGUGAGGCUGAAAGGGAGAUACACUACUGAUCCCAAACGCGUAAGGGCCUACUCUUUAUUACGGAUAGAUGUUUGCACAUUGUUUAUUACCGUAACUACAAAUUGUUAAAUUUUAUCAUGUAUUCAAUAAUUGCAACUUGACCCGGAGAAACACGGAGGCCAGCUCCACGAGAGACAACUUCUAAAUGUAGUCGAUGAUUUGUGUUGUUUCAUUCUGCACGAAGUGGUCAACGUUGAAGGCAAAUUUUUUGACGAAACACAAGCCUUAACAACGAACGACAAAUACCUUUCACUUCGUGAGUGGCACAAAUUCUGGCACGGUUAACGCUAAUGUAGCGCCCUAGGGGAAUGAUGGAAAAACAUGUAUAAGAGC